AAAACGACAGAGGGGUUUCAAUGGUUCUCCUCGGAUGGCCCCGUAAGUUAUUCAAUUAAAUCUACUACGCGCGAAACGAUUGCACAUUUAAACGGAAUCGUACGUAUUACGCAUAAUAAAAAAAUUAUGUUUUAUUUAUCAUUUUUUGCGGUGUUAAUAAAUCGUAUUUAUAAACUAAAUCCGUUAGAAUAUUUUAACUUAAUAAAUUCCCUGCAGUCGUUUUAUAUUUUCUUGAUACUCGAAGACAACACGUUCAACACGAAUCCGUUACUUGUUUACCUACUUAUUAUCUUUUUGUAUUUUAUUAUCAUCACACGUUAUUGCUCGUUUUUACAGCAAAUGCACUCAUUCAAUGAGCGAAUAGAUAACAACAAAUUAUUAUAUUACAAUAUUCUAUAAUAUUACCGAUAUCGUACACACCGCGAUUGCGUAUUCCGAUACCGACGAAACGAUAACAGUGAUAACGGAAUCUGGCACUAAUCCAUAAUGCGUCGAAAUUUAAUAUCCAUACAUGACGGGGUGUUGUCGUACGAAAAUAUCGCGCCCGAACGUGUCGAAUUACAAAUCGAUACUGCAACUGUUCGUACUGUACGUUCCGUACCGGCGGUGACCGACUACGGCCCGCGGAUCGCGUGUUAAUCGCGGCCCGCCAAAGUGUUGAUUAAAUCGAAAUUUGAAAAUAGAAAAUAACCCCGAAUUUCAAAAAAAAAAAACCAAAAUUCACAUUAAAAAUAGACAUACCGUGUUUAUUACUGCACGCGUUUUUUCUCCCGUUUAUAACGAACGAAUCAAUGCGUCGUGAAUAAUUGAAUAUGUCACCGUAUGCACUGUUGACUCGAAAGUAAAAGAGUUUAAAUUCUCGGUCCGUCGAGAAUUAUUGUUGUUUUGUUUUUCCUACGACCUAUUUUUCUACGGAAAAAAGGUCGGUCACCGCUGCUCCGUACGAAACUGUCCGCGCGUGAUUUUGAGUUUUCGCCGGACGGGAUUCGCGGGUCGCAGCGAAUGAUUCCCGCCGUCCGCCCGUCCGUGUCCCCGCGCGUGAAAACACGUCAAGACACGGACGUCCGUCGAAAACGAUUGAUUUCCGCCGUGGCAUUUUGCUUCGGUCGCGUACAUUUUCCCGUCGUGUUAUCGGCACGCCGAUCCGGUCCCCGUUCGUCGUCGAUACGCGCGUCAUUAUUCGGUCUCCGUUCGUUUUCCGAUCCUUUAUCGAAAUAUACGAAUUCGUUUUCAUACAAAAAAAAAAAAAUAAAAAAUAAAUAAAAAUAUUUUCUAUUGACAGCGUUUAUUAUUGUUAUUACGAUGUCGACUGAGAGGGUUCUUUAAUAAAAAACAAAUUAUAUAUAUAUAUACG